AUACGGAGGUUGCAAGCGUUGUUCGGAAUUAUUGGGCGUAAAGAGCAUGUAGGCGGACUGUUAAGUCUGGUGUGAAAGCCCGGGGCUCAACCCCGGAAGUGCAUUGGAUACUGGCAGUCUUGAGUAUGGGAGAGGAAAGUGGAAUUCCGAGUGUAGGAGUGAAAUCCGUAGAUAUUCGGAGGAACACCAGUGGCGAAGGCGGCUUUCUGGACCAAUACUGACGCUGAGAUGCGAAAGCGUGGGGAGCGAACAGGAUUAGAAACCCCAGUAGUCC
rnacentral:rRNA from 1 species